rnacentral:rRNA from 1 species
GCAAGUCGAGCGCUACCUUCGGGUGGAGCGGCGGACGGGUUAGUAACGCGUGGGAACAUACCCAACACUACGGAAUAGCCUCGGGAAACUGAGAGUAAUACCGUAUACGCCCUUCGGGGGAAAGAUUUAUCGGUGAUGGAUUGGCCCGCGUUAGAUUAGAUAGUUGGUGGGGUAAUGGCCUACCAAGACGAUGAUGCAUAGCCGACCUGAGAGGGUGAUC